GGUUAAGCGACUAAGCGUACACGGUGGAUGCCCUGGCAGUCAGAGGCGAUGAAGGACGUGCUAAUCUGCGAUAAGCGUCGGUAAGGUGAUAUGAACCGUUAUAACCGGCGAUUUCCGAAUGGGGAAACCCAGUGUGUUUCGACACACUAUCAUUAACUGAAUCCAUAGGUUAAUGAGGCGAACCGGGGGAACUGAAACAUCUAAGUACCCCGAGGAAAAGAAAUCAACCGAGAUUCCCCCAGUAGCGGCGAGCGAACGGGGAGCAGCCCAGAGCCUGAAUCAGUAUGUGUGUUAGUGGAAGCGUCUGGAAAGGCGCGCGAUACAGGGUGACAGCCCCGUACACAAAAAUGCACAUAUUGUGAGCUCGAUGAGUAGGGCGGGACACGUGGUAUCCUGUCUGAAUAUGGGGGGACCAUCCUCCAAGGCUAAAUACUCCUGACUGACCGAUAGUGAACCAGUACCGUGAGGGAAAGGCGAAAAGAACCCCGGCGAGGGGAGUGAAAAAGAACCUGAAACCGUGUACGUACAAGCAGUGGGAGCACGCUUAGGCGUGUGACUGCGUACCUUUUGUAUAAUGGGUCAGCGACUUAUAUUCUGUAGCAAGGUUAACCGAAUAGGGGAGCCGAAGGGAAACCGAGUCUUAACUGGGCGUUAAGUUGCAGGGUAUAGACCCGAAACCCGGUGAUCUAGCCAUGGGCAGGUUGAAGGUUGGGUAACACUAACUGGAGGACCGAACCGACUAAUGUUGAAAAAUUAGCGGAUGACUUGUGGCUGGGGGUGAAAGGCCAAUCAAACCGGGAGAUAGCUGGUUCUCCCCGAAAGCUAUUUAGGUAGCGCCUCGUGAAUUCAUCUCCGGGGGUAGAGCACUGUUUCGGCAAGGGGGUCAUCCCGACUUACCAACCCGAUGCAAACUGCGAAUACCGGAGAAUGUUAUCACGGGAGACACACGGCGGGUGCUAACGUCCGUCGUGAAGAGGGAAACAACCCAGACCGCCAGCUAAGGUCCCAAAGUCAUGGUUAAGUGGGAAACGAUGUGGGAAGGCCCAGACAGCCAGGAUGUUGGCUUAGAAGCAGCCAUCAUUUAAAGAAAGCGUAAUAGCUCACUGGUCGAGUCGGCCUGCGCGGAAGAUGUAACGGGGCUAAACCAUGCACCGAAGCUGCGGCAGCGACACUAUGUGUUGUUGGGUAGGGGAGCGUUCUGUAAGCCUGUGAAGGUGUGCUGUGAGGCAUGCUGGAGGUAUCAGAAGUGCGAAUGCUGACAUAAGUAACGAUAAAGCGGGUGAAAAGCCCGCUCGCCGGAAGACCAAGGGUUCCUGUCCAACGUUAAUCGGGGCAGGGUGAGUCGACCCCUAAGGCGAGGCCGAAAGGCGUAGUCGAUGGGAAACAGGUUAAUAUUCCUGUACUUGGUGUUACUGCGAAGGGGGGACGGAGAAGGCUAUGUUGGCCGGGCGACGGUUGUCCCGGUUUAAGCGUGUAGGCUGGUUUUCCAGGCAAAUCCGGAAAAUCAAGGCUGAGGCGUGAUGACGAGGCACUACGGUGCUGAAGCAACAAAUGCCCUGCUUCCAGGAAAAGCCUCUAAGCAUCAGGUAACAUCAAAUCGUACCCCAAACCGACACAGGUGGUCAGGUAGAGAAUACCAAGGCGCUUGAGAGAACUCGGGUGAAGGAACUAGGCAAAAUGGUGCCGUAACUUCGGGAGAAGGCACGCUGAUAUGUAGGUGAAGCGACUUGCUCGUGGAGCUGAAAUCAGUCGAAGAUACCAGCUGGCUGCAACUGUUUAUUAAAAACACAGCACUGUGCAAACACGAAAGUGGACGUAUACGGUGUGACGCCUGCCCGGUGCCGGAAGGUUAAUUGAUGGGGUCAGCGCAAGCGAAGCUCUUGAUCGAAGCCCCGGUAAACGGCGGCCGUAACUAUAACGGUCCUAAGGUAGCGAAAUUCCUUGUCGGGUAAGUUCCGACCUGCACGAAUGGCGUAAUGAUGGCCAGGCUGUCUCCACCCGAGACUCAGUGAAAUUGAACUCGCUGUGAAGAUGCAGUGUACCCGCGGCAAGACGGAAAGACCCCGUGAACCUUUACUAUAGCUUGACACUGAACAUUGAGCCUUGAUGUGUAGGAUAGGUGGGAGGCUUUGAAGUGUGGACGCCAGUCUGCAUGGAGCCGACCUUGAAAUACCACCCUUUAAUGUUUGAUGUUCUAACGUUGACCCGUAAUCCGGGUUGCGGACAGUGUCUGGUGGGUAGUUUGACUGGGGCGGUCUCCUCCUAAAGAGUAACGGAGGAGCACGAAGGUUGGCUAAUCCUGGUCGGACAUCAGGAGGUUAGUGCAAUGGCAUAAGCCAGCUUGACUGCGAGCGUGACGGCGCGAGCAGGUGCGAAAGCAGGUCAUAGUGAUCCGGUGGUUCUGAAUGGAAGGGCCAUCGCUCAACGGAUAAAAGGUACUCCGGGGAUAACAGGCUGAUACCGCCCAAGAGUUCAUAUCGACGGCGGUGUUUGGCACCUCGAUGUCGGCUCAUCACAUCCUGGGGCUGAAGUAGGUCCCAAGGGUAUGGCUGUUCGCCAUUUAAAGUGGUACGCGAGCUGGGUUUAGAACGUCGUGAGACAGUUCGGUCCCUAUCUGCCGUGGGCGCUGGAGAACUGAGGGGGGCUGCUCCUAGUACGAGAGGACCGGAGUGGACGCAUCACUGGUGUUCGGGUUGUCAUGCCAAUGGCACUGCCCGGUAGCUAAAUGCGGAAGAGAUAAGUGCUGAAAGCAUCUAAGCACGAAACUUGCCCCGAGAUGAGUUCUCCCUGACUCCUUGAGAGUCCUGAAGGAACGUUGAAGACGACGACGUUGAUAGGCCGGGUGUGUAAGCGCAGCGAUGCGUUGAGCUAACCGGUACUAAUGAACCGUGAGGCUUAACCUU
rnacentral:rRNA from 1 species